rnacentral:rRNA from 1 species
GACGAACGCUGGCGGCGUGCCUAAUACAUGCAAGUUGAGCGCUGAAGGUUGGUACUUGUACCAACUGGAUGAGCAGCGAACGGGUGAGUACCGCGUGGGGAAUCUGCCUUUGAGCGGGGGACAACAUUUGGAAACGAAUGCUAAUACCGCAUAAAAACUUUAAACACAAGUUUUAAGUUUGAAAGAUGCAAUUGCAUCACUCAAAGAUGAUCCCGCGUUGUAUUAGCUAGUUGGUGAGGUAAAGGCUCACCAAGGCGAUGAUACAUAGCCGACCUGAGAGGGUGAUCGGCCACAUUGGGACUGGGACACGGCCCAAACUCCUAAGGGAGGCAGCAGUAGGGAAUCUUCGGCAAUGGACGAAAGUCUGACCGAGCAACGCCGCGUGAGUGAAGAAGGGUUUCGGAUCGGAAAACUCUGUUGGUAGAGAAGAACGUUGGUGAGAGUGGAAAGCUCAUCAAGUGACGGUAACUACCCAGAAAGGGACGGCUAACUACGUG